rnacentral:tRNA from 2 species
AAAUUUAAAGGUAUAUAUUUAUCAUUUUCUAU